CCUUGCUGACCACCACCUGCUGGAGCAGGGGCACAGGUCCCAGCAACUGAUCCUCAGUGGAUGCGUCUGCAGCCAAAGCCUUAAUGGGCUCUCUUUUGAAGGGGAAAGAAGGAAUUUCGAGCUAAUGAUAUCCAACAUUAUUAUAGUUGAUGAGUUAGUAAAUUCCAAAAAAAAAAAUGAUUUUAUAUGUAAGACAUAAAAAAAACUUUGUAAAGUGCGCAAGUGCAAUAAUUUAAAGAGGUCUUAUCUUUGCAUUUAUAAAUUAUAAAUAUUGUACAUGUGUGUAAUUUUUCAUGUAUUCAUUUGCAGUCUUUGUAUUUAAAAAAUCUUUACCGUUAUGUUUGUAUAAUAGAACAUUAAUCAUUUAUUAUAACAGACAAGGUGUAAAUAAAUUCAUAAUUCAAACAGCCAGUAUAUAUGCAUAUAUGGGUGUUACAUUGCAAAAAAUUCUCUAUCUUUGUUCUAUUCACAUGCUUAAAGAAGUAAGAAAUCUUUUGUGGAUAUGUAUACAUAUAAAGUAUAUAUAUAUGUAUGAUACAUGAAAUAUAUUUAGAAAUGUUCAUAAUUUUAAUGGAUAUUCUUUGGUGUGAAUAAUUGAAUACAAAAUUUUUAAAAUAUCA
rnacentral:lncRNA from 1 species